ACGGGUGAGUAACGCGUGGGAAUCUACCCAUCUCUACGGAAUAACGCAUGGAAACGUGUGCUAAUACCGUAUACGUCCUUCGGGAGAAAGAUUUAUCGGAGAUGGAUGAGCCCGCGUUGGAUUAGCUAGUUGGUGGGGUAAAGGCCUACCAAGGCGACGAUCCAUAGCUGGUCUGAGAGGAUGAUCAGCCACACUGGGACUGAGACACGGCCCAGACUCCUACGGGAGGCAGCAGUGGGGAAUAUUGGACAAUGGGCGCAAGCCUGAUCCAGCCAUGCCGCGUGGGUGAUGAAGGCCCUAGGGUUGUAAAGCUCUUUCACCGGUGAAGAUAAUGACGGUAACCGGAGAAGAAGCCCCGGCUAACUUCGUGCCAGCAGCCGCGGUAAUACGAAGGGGGCUAGCGUUGUUCGGAUUUACUGGGCGUAAAGCGCACGUAGGCGGACUAUUAAGUCAGGGGUGAAAUCCCGGGGCUCAACCCCGGAACUGCCUUUGAUGCUGGUAGUCUUGAGUUCGAGAGAGGUGAGUGGAAUUCCGAGUGUAGAGGUGAAAUUCGUAGA
rnacentral:rRNA from 1 species